rnacentral:tRNA from 1 species
GCGCGUGUAGCUCAGCGGUUAGAGCAUCCGUCUUAUAAGCGGAAGGUUUCGUUGGUUCAAAUCCAACCACGCGCACCA